UACAGAGGUCUCAAGCGUUGUUCGGAUUCAUUGGGCGUAAAGGGGCGCGUAGGCGGCGGGGGUAAAGUCGGGUGUGAAAUCUCAGAGCUCAACUCUGAAAUGGCACUUGAUACUGCUCUGCUAGAGGACUGGAGAGGAGAUUGGAAUUCACGGUGUAGCAGUGAAAUGCGUAGAUAUCGUGAGGAAGACCGGUGGCGAAGG
rnacentral:rRNA from 1 species